UGGCAAUCCAGAAGAUGGGUGGCAGGGGGCGGGUGGCCGCUGAGCUGCUUGAACAGAGAAGGAGCAGCCACUGUGAUGACAGGAAGCAGACAUCCAUAAAGUUGGGGCCUCCCACAGUUCGACUGGAAUAAAAAGAUUUGAAGUGAUUCGGGACAGUGGAGUGGAAGAGGAGGAAGAGGAAGAUAUAAAUGUUGGAGCACUGCCCUGUUGUCUGUUUCUGCAAUGGUUGGAAGCAUGUGUGACUUAGAUCAGGGAAAAUGUCUACCAAUGACGGAUAGCUCCCCCAUGACUGCACCCGUCAGGGGUUCUGCACCCAGGAAUUCGCCUUCCUGUCUCCUUCCUCCUCCUCUCCUCCCAGACGCUGUUAGCGCUGCUGGUCUUGGUGCUGUACCUGGGCACAGGAAUAUCAGGAAAUGGCUGGGAAGGAUCCGGACGGAUCAGGGACUGCAGCCACCCUCAGAAUCCCGUGGCAUCCCAGGGCUUUGAGUAUCAGGCCAGUGAGCCCACUGAAGAGCCAAUAAGGACCCUCAGGAAGUGGCUGAAGACAAACUUGCACGGUUUUCUGGAGAAGCUAGAGAGAGAAGUGAGAGAGUUGGAACAGCUGGUGCGCGACCUGGAAUUCUGGCUUGAUGCGCUCCUGGGAGAGCCGCACCCCGAAGACCUGUGCUCCACCCACAAGGGUCAUCUGUGAAGGGCAGGUGCUGGGACCUGGGAGCAGAAGAGGAGGCCAGGAGGCCAGGUUCUGACACUCGCUGUUCCAGGCAACAAUAAAGUGGACAAUAAAGUGGCUGAGAGGA